rnacentral:rRNA from 1 species
GAUGAACGCUGGCGGCGUGCCUAAUACAUGCAAGUCGAGCGAACAGACGAUGAGCUUGUUCCUCUGACGUUAGCGGCGGACGGGUGAGUAACACUUGGAUAACCUACCUAUAAGACUUGGAUAACUUCGGGAAACCGGAGCUAAUACCGGAUAAUAUAUUGAUCCGCAUGGUUCAAUAGUGAAAGACGGUUUUGCUGUCACUUAUAGAUGGAUCUGCGCCGCAUUAGCUAGUUGGUAAGGUAACGGCUUACCAAGGCAACGAUGCGUAGCCGACCUGAGAGGGUGAUCGGCCACACUAGAACUGAGACGCGGUCCAGACUCCUACGGGAGGGAGCAGUAGGGAAUCUUCCGCAAUGGGAGGAAGCCUGACGGAGCAACGCCGCGUGAGUGAUGAAGGUCUUCGGAUCGUAAAACUCUGUUAUUAGGGAAGAACAAAUGUGUAAGUAACUAUGCACGUCUUGACGGUACCUAAUCAGAAAGCCACGGCUAACUACGUG